GGACUACUGGGGUUUCUAAUCCUGUUUGCUCCCCACGCUUUCGCGUCUCAGCGUCAGUCACUGUCCAGAAGGCCGCCUUCGCCACCGGUGUUCCUCUCGAUAUCUACGAAUUUCACCUCUACACCGAGAAUUCCGCCUUCCUCUCCAGGACUCCAGCUUCGCAGUUUCGAGUGCACUUCCUAGGUUGAGCCCAGGGCUUUCACACCCGACUUGCGAAGCAGCCUACACGCGCUUUACGCCCAGUAAUUCCGAACAACGUUUGCACCCUCUGUCUUACCGCGGCUGCUGGCAC
rnacentral:rRNA from 1 species